CCUACGGGAGGCAGCAGUGGGGAAUAUUGCGCAAUGGGCGGAAGCCUGACGCAGCGACGCCGCGUGAGGGAUGACGGCCUUCGGGUUGUAAACCUCUUUCAGCUCUGACGAAGCGUGAGUGACGGUAGGAGCAGAAGAAGCACCGGCCAACUACGUGCCAGCAGCCGCGGUAAUACGUAGGGUGCAAGCGUUGUCCGGAAUUAUUGGGCGUAAAGAGCUCGUAGGCGGUUUGUCGCGUCGAAUGUGAAAACCCGGGGCUCAACCCCGGGCCUGCAUUCGAUACGGGCAGACUAGAGUUCGGUAGGGGAGUCUGGAAUUCCUGGUGUAGCGGUGAAAUGCGCAGAUAUCAGGAGGAACACCGGUGGCGAAGGCGGGACUCUGGGCCGAUACUGACGCUGAGGAGCGAAAGCGUGGGGAGCGAACAGGAUUAGAUACCCUGGUAGUCCACGCCGUAAACGUUGGGCGCUAGGUGUGGGGUUCCUUCCACGAACUCCGUGCCGCAGCUAACGCAUUAAGCGCCCCGCCUGGGGAGUACGGCCGCAAGGCUAAAACUCAAAGGAAUUGACGG
rnacentral:rRNA from 1 species